AGGACGAACGCUGGCGGCGUGCUUAACACAUGCAAGUCGAGCGGAAAGGCCUUUCGGGGUGCUCGAGCGGCGAACGGGUGAGUAACACGUGAGUAAUCUGCCCAUCGCUUCAGGAUAGCCAUCGGAAACGGUGAUUAAUACUGGAUAUGACAUUCCUUCGCAUGUUGGGGUGUGGAAAGUUUUUUCGGCGGUGGAUGUGCCGCGGCUAUCAGCUUGUGGUGGGUAAUGGACCUACCGAAGGCUUUCGACGGGUAGCCGGCCGUGAGAGGGUCGACCGGCCACACGUGGGACCUGACGACACCGGACCCGACGACGUACCCGUACGGGGACGGGC
rnacentral:rRNA from 1 species